UGGGGAAUUUUGGACAAUGGGCGGAAGCCUGAUCCAGCAAUGCCGCGUGUGUGAAGAAGGCCUUCGGGUUGUAAAGCACUUUUGUCCGGAAAGAAAUCCUUGGCUCUAAUACAGUCGGGGGAUGACGGUACCGGAAGAAUAAGCACCGGCUAACUACGUGCCAGCAGCCGCGGUAAUACGUAGGGUGCAAGCGUUAAUCGGAAUUACUGGGCGUAAAGCGUGCGCAGGCGGUUUGCUAAGACCGAUGUGAAAUCCCCGGGCUCAACCUGGGAACUGCAUUGGUGACUGGCAGGCUAGAGUAUGGCAGAGGGGGGUAGAAUUCCACGUGUAGCAGUGAAAUGCGUAGAGAUGUGGAGGAAUACCGAUGGCGAAGGCAGCCCCCUGGGCCAAUACUGACGCUCAUGCACGAAAGCGUGGGGAGCAAACAGGAUUAGAUACCCUGGUAGUCCACGCCCUAAACGAUGUCAACUAGUUGUUGGGGAUUCAUUUCCUUAGUAACGUAGCUAACGCGUGAAGUUGACCGCCUGGGGAGUACGGUCGCAAGAUUAAAACUCAAAGGAAUUGA
rnacentral:rRNA from 1 species